rnacentral:rRNA from 1 species
AGUGAACGCUGGCGGUAGGCCUAACACAUGCAAGUCGAACGGCAGCACAGUAAGAGCUUGCUCUUACGGGUGGCGAGUGGCGGACGGGUGAGGAAUACAUCGGAAUCUACUUUUUCGUGGGGGAUAACGUAGGGAAACUUACGCUAAUACCGCAUACGACCUACGGGUGAAAGCAGGGGAUCUUCGGACCUUGCGCGAUUGAAUGAGCCGAUGUCGGAUUAGCUAGUUGGCGGGGUAAAGGCCCACCAAGGCGACGAUCCGUAGCUGGUCUGAGAGGAUGAUCAGCCACACUGGAACUGAGACACGGUCCAGACUCCUCCGGGAGGCAGCAGUGGGGAAUAUUGGACAAUGGGCGCAAGCCUGCUCCAGCCAUACCGCGUGGGUGAAGAAGGCCUUCGGGUUGUAAAGCCCUUUUGUUGGGAAAGAAAAGCAGCAGGUUAAUACCCCGCUGUUCUGACGGUACCCAAAGAAUAAGCACCGGCUAACUUCGUG